AGUUAUCGUUUAUUUGAUAGUACCUUACUACAUGGAUAACCGUGGUAAUUCUAGAGCUAAUACAUGCUAAAAACCCCAACUUCGGGAGGGGUGUAUUUAUUAGAUAAAAAACCAAUGCCCUUCGGGGCUCCUUGGUGAUUCAUAAUAACUUCUCAGAUCGCAUGGCUUUACGCCGGCGACGGUUCAUUCAAAUUUCUGCCCUAUCAACUUUCGAUGGUAAGGUAUUGGCUUACCAUGGUUUCAACGGGUAACGGGGAAUUAGGGUUCGAUUCCGGAGAGGGAGCCUGAGAAACGGCUACCACAUCCAAGGAAGGCAGCAGGCGCGCAAAUUACCCAAUUCCGAUACGGAGAGGUAGUGACAAUAAAUACUGAUACAGGGCUCUUUUGGGUCUUGUAAUUGGAAUGAGUACAAUUUAAACCUCUUAACGAGGAACAAUUGGAGGGCAAGUCUGGUGCCAGCAGCCGCGGUAAUUCCAGCUCCAAUAGCGUAUAUUAAAGUUGUUGCAGUUAAAAAGCUCGUAGUUGAACCUUUGGCCUGGCUGGCAGGUCCGCCUCACCGCGUGCACUUGUCCGGCCGGGCCUUUUCUUCUGGAGAACCGCAUGCCCUUCACUGGGUGUGUUGGGGACCAGGACUUUUACUUUGAAAAAAUUAGAGUGUUCAAAGCAGGCCUUUGCUCGAAUACGUUAGCAUGGAAUAAUAGAAUAGGACGUGCGGUCCUAUUUUGUUGGUUUCUAGGACCGCCGUAAUGAUUAAUAGGGACAGUCGGGGGCAUCAGUAUUCAAUUGUCAGAGGUGAAAUUCUUGGAUUUAUUGAAGACUAACUACUGCGAAAGCAUUUGCCAAGGAUGUUUUCAUUAAUCAGUGAACGAAAGUUAGGGGAUCGAAGACGAUCAGAUACCGUCGUAGUCUUAACCAUAAACUAUGCCGACUAGGGAUCGGGCGGUGUUUCUAUUGUGACCCGCUCGGCACCUUACGAGAAAUCAA
rnacentral:rRNA from 1 species